ensembl:lincRNA uncharacterized LOC101687919
CCUGAAUACUCUUGAAAGCCUCAAGAUACCAAUUGAAAUAGACAUCCCACUCACUGUGUUUCAUUUUACAGUCAGGCCUUCUAACUUGGUUCUCAGAAAAACAAGUUUGAGGAUAUCAAAAAUCCCUCAUUAUGGUCACUGGAGUUCUAAAUUAUGUAUUGUUACAUUGGUCCAAUUAAUUAAAAAUGUGCAUGAGAAGGAACUGUAAUGUUUCUUUAAUUUUUAUUUAUUUGUCAGAGAGCGCACAGGCAGGCAGAGUGGAAGGCAGAGGCAGAGGGAGAAGCAGGCUCCCUCCCAAGCAAGGAGCCAGAUGUGGGACUCCAUCCCAGAUCUCUGGGAUCAUGACUUGAGCGGAACACAGCCACUUGACCGACUGAGCCCCCCAGGCAUUCCGGAACUGUAGUUUUUAAAUGUAAAACCAGCAAGGGUCCCAGAAGGAGGAUGAUCCUGAGAAAUGUUAACAGAUUGGGACACCAUUACUCAAAAACCAGAGGUUCAGGAAGCAGAAGAGUAUUCACCAGGAAGGACAAUGCUUUCAUAAAAACGACAUCAAAAAACCAGAUCCUGAGUAAAGUCAGCCAAAAGUCGCCCUAAAGGAGGGAACUCAGAUCUGAAAGGAGACUCACUGAACCAAAUGGAAAGAGAUGACUCACAGAAGCAGAGAAAGAGAGCGCACAGGAGCUUAGGUGGAUUUUCCCAAAUUACAGUCUCCUCUAUUGAAGACCAUCAGUCUCAAAAUUCCAUUAUCCUUUGAUCGAAAGCUGCUGGAGGUCUGCCCUGAUAUCUUCCCAUUUCUAAAGUGUUGUCACUACAGUCUGAAGAAGACGGUUGUCCAAGCUCAAACCAACACAUCCACAUGUAAGGCAGCAAGACUGGAGAAAGAUGCAACUAUCCCCAGGAAUCACCCAGACACAGAGUGACAUUUUAAAGGAGAAACCACUGGAUGCCAUAGUCUUUUUAAAAAUAAUAUUAGAGGAAGAGCUCAAAGGAAUGUCUGCCCAAGCACCAGUGUCUAUAGCCUCGUAUUCAAGAAGAAUCCAGCCACUUGAAGAAGCAGCGAGCCAGUACUGCUCACUUCAGCUCCUGUCCUCUUGGAUCUACUUUGUUGUGCUCAGCAUCAGAUUCGAAACUGGUGACCUCCUGUCAGUGGCACAGCUCUUCUUACCUGUUAUGUUGUUAAAUCUGUGCUAAAUUUGUGAUGUUGCUGCUCUUUCAUAUUCAUGCUUCAUCCGCCCAGAUCAAGAGUUUCUUGAGCUCAGGGGUCACACUUUAUACUCCAUUCAGUCUUGCCUAGUUGUGUUUGUCUUGGUAAACACAGGAAAUAGCUGUUGGAUGGAUGAAUAAGAGAAUGACAAAGGCUGGGAAACAGUAGAAGGCGAACUGCUCUGCUACCUGGUAAAGAGGAUUAUGAAACUCGGGUCAGAUUAGCAGGAAAGGUGGUGUUUCAUUUGUGUCCGCAGAUAGGGAUCUUAGCCCCAGGGUUGCCGGCUUGCUUUCACUCAUUCAACAAACAUUUCUCUAAGUUUCUCCAGAAGAGCCAGGCAAGCAUUGCGGUGGCAGGCCCCCAAUAAGACAAAGUGCCUGUGGGGGUGAGGGAGACCUGCGGCAUCACAGACUCAGGGAGAUACAAUGGGGUUGGCAAUAUGAUAAUGGCAUGCACAUGGCACAUGGAGAUUCUAAAUCAGAUUGUGGCUUCCAGAGAAGCUUCUGGAAAGAGAAGCAUUUUUAUUCAUGUGUUCAAGGAUGAAUGAGUGUUGGCUAGAGGAGACUGAUUAGGAAAAGCAUUACAGGGAGAAGAACUAGCAUGGGAAUGUGUUCUGUGCCAUAAAAUAGAAGGUUACAUUGAGAACUAAAGUCUCAGCUGAAAUGGUAGCUGUGCCUAGAGGUGAAGUCAGAGAACUAGGCUAGAAUAGCCUUGCAGAGGACCUUGUGGCAAUAUGAUUUAGUAUUUCAGAGUGGAGGUUUAGAAAUCAGACAGAACUGAGUUCAAAUCCUUGCUCUGGUACUUACAAUCCAUGUAACUAACUGAUUUUUUUUUUUAAUUCCUCGAAGUCUUGGUUUCCUUAGCACAGUGUCUAGCUGUAUCACUUAUCUAUUGUUACAUAAGAAAUUAUCCCAAAUCAUAACAGCUUAAAAUAGUACACAUUUAUUAAGUUCUCACAGGUCCAGAAUCUGGUCUUCAGCUUCAGGGUCUCCCACGAGGCUGUAAUGAAGUAUCAGCCAGAGAUGAGGUAUUAUCUCAAGACGUGAGAAGGAUCCAUUUCCAAGCUCACUUACAUGAUUGUUGAGGGAAUUCAACAAUGGAUGGCCAUUGGCCAGAGGCUGCCCUCAGUUCCUUGACAUGUGGGCCUCCCCAGCAUAUCAGCUUGCAUCAUCAGUCAGUGACAGAGGGCCUGUGACCAAGACAGAUGUAGCCUAAUCAGCUAAGUGACUUCUUGUCACCAUUGCCACAUUCUGUAGAGUAAAAGUCAUUGGGCCAUCCCACACUCCAGGGAAGGGGAUUAUACAAGGGAAUGAACACCAUAAAAUGGGGAUCUUUGGGUGUCAUUUUAAGCCAGUAGCCUAUAGCUGGUAGCCUAUGUUAGUAGCUGAUAGCUUAUAUUACCACCAAAUAAAUGUCAGCUUUUUAAAAUUAAACUCAGUUGAUAGUUUUGGAAAACCUAGUGAAAGCUGGUGAAGGAUUUUAUAACAAAGAGUAACUUUAGGUGACCUUGGCUAGGUCAAAUCAUUUCACAUCAUGUCUUCGAGCCUUCCUUUCCUCCUAAGUAUGGUGAAAAUAUCUAUCUCUCAUAGAAAUGAGAACAUAUAUGUGCAAGCAGAAAUACACUUUGGUAAAAACAAGCAUACAACUCUUCACAGUGGGAGGAAGCUUACUGCCUUGGGCCAGCUUUCCACUUUGCACUGAUACUAGGACUCUCACAGUUUGAUAUCUUCAGAGUUUUCAGGGCUUGACCUGUGGGCCCAGAAGGAUUUGUAUAACUGGAAUAAACACCCACAAAAAGAAAUUUGUCUUUUGAACAUCGCUUAAGGCAUUUCCAAGAGUUUGCUUUUUUCCAUCUUUUUAAAUACCUUUGCUUCCAAGGACCCCAUGGGGGCUAGAGAGAGAAAACAGACUAUCUGGGAAAUUUCAAGCUCUUGAUAAUAAAAGUGGUAAUAAAAUCUCGUCUGGCUCCUGAUGCUUCACAGAGUGGUUGUUUGUGGUGGAUGGGGUUCCCCCACAUCUAGCAGUUGGUUUCCAGUCCCAGGGAGCGGCUCGAGUUACCACCCCCUUGCCCACUGCAAGGGCAGCUCCCUGCCUGCAAGGUACCCCCACCCUGGCGCCUCACCCAUUUCCGCUGCCCAAAUGGGAUACUUCAUUCCCUGCUCCACAUGGAGCCCGUCACACACACAGGAGUGU